UACGGAGGGGGCUAGCGUUGUUCGGAAUUACUGGGCGUAAAGCGCGCGUAGGCGGCUUUGCAAGUUAGAGGUGAAAGCCCGGGGCUCAACCCCGGAACUGCCUUUAAAACUGCAUCGCUAGAACGUCGGAGAGGUAAGUGGAAUUCCGAGUGUAGAGGUGAAAUUCGUAGAUAUUCGGAAGAACACCAGUGGCGAAGGCGACUUACUGGACGACUGUUGACGCUGAGGUGCGAAAGCGUGGGGAGCAAACAGGAUUAGAAACC
rnacentral:rRNA from 1 species